UUGGAUUUUACUCUUGUUUCAGCAGCAUUUAAGUCAUGUAUGACACCACAUGCAUUUCAAAUAUUUAGGAUUCUAUUUAUAUGCCUGGCUUUUGAAAUUGGGUGUGCCAUUAUAUUUUGCCUAAUGCCCUCUUGUCUUGGUACUUAGACCCAUAUUCAACAUUUGGUUCAGAAUGGGUUUCAUUCCUGGGUAUCUUCCACUGUUUCAUAUGCAGAUUCUAAGUGUUUAUUAUCUAGGAUAAAUAUAAAAAAAACUGUAAUAGCAUCUCAAAAAUACUAUUUAAGUUGUUGAUAGGUGAAAAUAAGUAUAGUAGUCUCAUAUGAAAAUAAAAUAGUUACAUUUAUUGUCUACAGUAUAAAAAAUAUAUGUUGGUUGCCACAUUUGAAAAAGAAAGCAGUUAUACUUGUUGAUUUUGUAGAAUAAAGGAAAGGACUGGUGUCACUUAUGACUAACACAAGUUAAAUAAUUUGAGGACAUUGGUCACAUGGCAUGAAAUAGGUUGCAGAUUUUUUGUCUAUGAUAAAUGUGAAGACUUUUCUAUGCAUUUGGAUAAGUAUAAAUAAAUGAAUGAUUAAUGGUAAUGGCAUUUGCUAAUUAAUUAACCCUUUCACUGUGGCUGAAAUUUAUAUUUCCCAGUGGUCUGGGAAAUAUAUGGCCCAGCCACAGUGAAAGGGUUAAACAACAGCCCUAUUAUUUGAUUAGCAGUGUUCCUCAAACAAUGGAAUGUACAGGAAGAUAAAAAAAGCUAGCAGCAGGUCUUAUCAGCUAGAUUCCUUCCUUCUAGUCAGCAGUCCAACAAGAAAAAAAAUGUUGGUGAUGGGUGCUGCUAGCCAAGUGCCUUCCCUCUAGUUACAUACUCAGGAUUAAUACGGUUUCCACUGUGGCUCAAAAGAAUUAAGCAUUUUGGUGACAGCUAACAAAAACCUUUUUUUUUUAGUCAAAAAUUACACAAGCUUGAAGACUGUAGUCACACCUGAUAUAAAAUAUUUUGUAAUCAGUGUCCAUAAAUUCUAGGACAGAAAUUGCAGAUGUGUUUUCAUUUGUUCAUCAUAUUUAAAGUUGAGUAUGUUCAGGACUUAAAAAGAAUAGUUUUAUGUGCAUUUUUGCAGAGUCAGUGAGGUUUGAUGAAAUUACAUUAUUACUUAUUACAUUCAAAUAAUGCAAAAGUCAUUUGAGAAAUAUAGUUGUAGUUGUUUAGUGUCUUGACAAAAAAACUGAGAACUGAAGCCAUAUUUUAUAAAAUAAAGUUGUAUUUUUCCAAUAUUCAUAAUUGUAAAUUAUGAGAAUUGCAUAAAGAAAUGUCAAACAGGUUUAUAUGACAUUGAUCCAGUAAUUAUAAAUGUUAAACCCAAUUAGUUACAACUAUCUUGACUAUAAAAUACAUUUAAUGUUUUAGAAGUUUAAAGAAACAAAAAAGUAUAUUUAGUCACUAACUUUUAGACUGAUGGACAGUCUUUUUUUCAGGGGUUAGAAGGUAUAAAAAAUGCAUAAACAUAUAUACAACUGACCGGCAUUUGAAGUAAACAGCAAUAAGAGUAUUGUACAAGUAUGCUAUUAAGUAAAGAAAUACUGUCAAGAAACACCAAGUGUGUAAUUUUUACAUUCUGUGAAUGUUAUAUAUUGCCAUAAAAGUGAAAGUAUACAAAAAUUAGCCACUUGAACAGAGUAAGUAAACAGAUAGAUGCACUUGUAUAUUACAUAUAUAUAUAUAUAAUAUGUACGAGUUAAAUGUAUGUUGACUAUAGCAUUUUAUGACCUUAAUGCUCAUUAAUUUUUCAGUGUAAGUAAACAGAAUCAUAUUGAUAAAUUAUACUCACUACAUCAAAGAUAAGAAGCCAAAUUGCUUAAUGAUUAGGUGCAUAUAUCCUGUUAAAUAAACAGUUUUGAGUCUCCCAUUACUCCAAACAAGUCUUGAAUUAUUACAACCAUGUUUAAAAGAAAAUUCUCUUGAAAAAGAAAAUAAUUAUAUAACGUUAUGACACAGUAAUGUUUUUCAUUUAAGACUGUAAUAAGUUGUUUAUUCAAAGCCAAGUGUGAACAAGGAUUUUGGUAAUUUGUUAUGGAAUCUACAAAAGAAAAAAUUGUACACUCUAAGAACUCAUGAGUGAAAGCAAAGGUUAUAUGUACAGCAAACACGAGAAACAUGCAUUUUCACGAUUUGUGAAAAUCAUACUUCUGUCUUUUUUUUCUAUUUUCACACGUUUUUUGGAUCUUCACAUUGUUUAGAAAAACAUGUUUAUUGAACUAAUAAAACGAUACCCUCCCUCUUCUUUUUUUAAUUUGAUGAUAAUAAUAAUUUGUGCACUAACGUUAGAGCAAUUGGGAGAGUGUUCAUGCACAUUUAUGAAUAUUUUCACAUUGUUUUGUUUGUAAAAUAUCUUUUAUAGCAAUUGAGACUGUGUGCAUGUAUGUUUAAAUAUACCCUCAUUCCAUGUUUUGGCUCUAUACAGUAGUAUCUGUUAUGGGAAUGUGUUCAAGUAGAUUUAAAAACAUACAAACAGUUUUAUUUUAUAACACUUUUUAGGGCUGUGUGGACAUAUGUUUAAAAUACCCCUUUCUGAAAAAUGUAAACAUGAGUUACAGUAUCUUUUCAAAGAUACUAUAAUUAAAAAUUCAUAUUUUAUAGGUUUUCUUGUAUAAAAUGAUGUUCACACAAGGUUUAUUCUAAAGAAAAUUUCCAACUACACAAGGCAGGGGUCAGGGACAUUCUGACAUGCAUUCUAGGUAAUUUUUUACUGUUAUAACUUUAGAAAAUACCAGGCCUAAAGGAUUUACAAUUUCAUAUUAUUAUGAUAUGCUGUAUCCAAGCACAAUUUUUCUAAGUAUAGUUAUACUUAUUGUCCACACAACUUAAAAUUUUCAUCUGUAUGUAAUAUGUUAAGAACUUAAUAUUUUCAACUUUAUAAUUUAUGUAAAUUGUGCUUAUGUCAUGACGUCAGUGUUUCUUGUUCUCUUUGAGUAUACAGUACACACAAUUCAUGGUGCAACGAGUUCGUCCAUUGAUGAUUGUGAGUUAUAAGAAGUUAGAACUUCGAUCUGACAAGCACUACAAGAUGUAAAUGAAGAGUCCAGGAAAUAAGAAAGUUCCCUGGAACACUGGCUUGAAGCAUCCAACAACACACCAACAGUACUACCUAGGCAUGCCAACCAAACAUUUUCAGUCUCACUUCCCAGUAGACCUGAUGAUGAAAUUUAUGUAUUUUAGAAUGCUGACACAGGAAGAGAUAGAAAUGCCUCUGCAAAACAGCAGAACUAUUAACACUCUUAUAUGAUCCUGCUAAUAUUGACAAUAAUCAGGAGAAAGUAAUAGAAAAUUGCAUGAUCAUCGGAGAUGCUGAGAGAACUAUUGCUAUGCCAUUGAAUUCAUCCAUGUCUGAAGAGAACAUGAAAACUGAUUCCAAUCCAAGUCUAUCAAGCAAUAUACACAUACUCUUAAAAAGAUGUUUUUGAACAUUUUCACAUGUAAGGCAUAGUGCAUUUUAAAAGUUUACGGAACCCGUCAAACUGUAUUCAAAUAAAAUUUAAUUGCCUCUGAUUGCAUAAAAUUGUGGAACUAUAUAUCAGAAUGAAACAACUGAGAAUCAUUUGCAGGAAUCCUACCACACAGAAAGU